rnacentral:rRNA from 1 species
CCUACGGGUGGCUGCAGUGGGGAAUAUUGGGCAAUGGGCGAAAGCCUGACCCAGCAACGCCGCGUGAAUGAUGAAGGCCCUCGGGUUGUAAACUUCUUUUAUAAGGGACGAAGCAAGUGACGGUACCUUAUGAAUAAGCCACGGCUAACUACGUGCCAGCAGCCGCGGUAAUACGUAGGUGGCAAGCGUUAUCCGGAUUUACUGGGUGUAAAGGGCGUGUAGGCGGGAACGUAAGUCAGAUGUGAAAACCAUGGGCUCAACCUGUGGCCUGCAUUUGAAACUGUUUUUCUUGAGUACUGGGGAGGCAGAUGGAAUUCCUAGUGUAGCGGUGGAAUGCGUAGAUAUUAGGAGGAACACCAGUGGCGAAGGCGGUCUGCUGGACAGUAACUGACGCUGAGGCGCGAAAGCGUGGGGAGCAAACAGGAUUAGAUACCCUAGUAGUC